UGGUUUUGUUCACAAGGAAUAGGUUGGUGUGAAUUUCAUCAUUCAAUUGUUUCCUAAAUGCUUUCUGAAAUCCGGUUACCCAGACAGCAGAUAAAAUGGAUUUGGAAGGCAGUCUAUGAUAGGAUCCUCAUCUAAAUAUUGGGUGUGUUUGUAUGAUGUCUACAUCAAAUAUUUUUCAUGUUAAUCUUAGUUUAAUAGACUUCCUUGGCAUUGUUAGCCAACUUAGCG
rnacentral:misc_RNA from 1 species